UAAUACUGUCAGGUAAAGAUGUC
rnacentral:miRNA from 46 species